rnacentral:rRNA from 1 species
GGGGAGCAGCCCAGAGCCUGAAUCAGUGUGUGUGUUAGUGGAAGCGUCUGGAAAGGCGCGCGAUACAGGGUGACAGCCCCGUACACAAAAAUGCACAUGCUGUGAGCUCGAUGAGUAGGGCGGGACACGUGGUAUCCUGUCUGAAUAUGGGGGGACCAUCCUCCAAGGCUAAAUACUCCUGACUGACCGAUAGUGAACCAGUACCGUGAGGGAAAGGCGAAAAGAACCCCGGCGAGGGGAGUGAAAAAGAACCUGAAACCGUGUACGUACAAGCAGUGGGAGCCUCUUUUAUGGGGUGACUGCGUACCUUUUGUAUAAUGGGUCAGCGACUUAUAUUCUGUAGCAAGGUUAACCGAAUAGGGGAGCCGAAGGGAAACCGAGUCUUAACUGGGCGUUAAGUUGCAGGGUAUAGACCCGAAACCCGGUGAUCUAGCCAUGGGCAGGUUGAAGGUUGGGUAACACUAACUGGAGGACCGAACCGACUAAUGUUGAAAAAUUAGCGGAUGACUUGUGGCUGGGGGUGAAAGGCCAAUCAAACCGGGAGAUAGCUGGUUCUCCCCGAAAGCUAUUUAGGUAGCGCCUCGUGAAUUCAUCUCCGGGGGUAGAGCACUGUUUCGGCAAGGGGGUCAUCCCGACUUACCAACCCGAUGCAAACUGCGAAUACCGGAGAAUGUUAUCACGGGAGACACACGGCGGGUGCUAACGUCCGUCGUGAAGAGGGAAACAACCCAGACCGCCAGCUAAGGUCCCAAAGUCAUGGUUAAGUGGGAAACGAUGUGGGAAGGCCCAGACAGCCAGGAUGUUGGCUUAGAAGCAGCCAUCAUUUAAAGAAAGCGUAAUAGCUCACUGGUCGAGUCGGCCUGCGCGGAAGAUGUAACGGGGCUAAACCAUGCACCGAAGCUGCGGCAGCGACGCUUAUGCGUUGUUGGGUAGGGGAGCGUUCUGUAAGCCUGCGAAGGUGUACUGUGAGGUAUGCUGGAGGUAUCAGAAGUGCGAAUGCUGACAUAAGUAACGAUAAAGCGGGUGAAAAGCCCGCUCGCCGGAAGACCAAGGGUUCCUGUCCAACGUUAAUCGGGGCAGGGUGAGUCGACCCCUAAGGCGAGGCCGAAAGGCGUAGUCGAUGGGAAACAGGUUAAUAUUCCUGUACUUGGUGUUACUGCGAAGGGGGGACGGAGAAGGCUAUGUUGGCCGGGCGACGGUUGUCCCGGUUUAAGCGUGUAGGCUGGUUUUCCAGGCAAAUCCGGAAAAUCAAGGCUGAGGCGUGAUGACGAGGCACUACGGUGCUGAAGCAACAAAUGCCCUGCUUCCAGGAAAAGCCUCUAAGCAUCAGGUAACAUCAAAUCGUACCCCAAACCGACACAGGUGGUCAGGUAGAGAAUACCAAGGCGCUUGAGAGAACUCGGGUGAAGGAACUAGGCAAAAUGGUGCCGUAACUUCGGGAGAAGGCACGCUGAUAUGUAGGUGAAGUCCCUCGCGGAUGGAGCUGAAAUCAGUCGAAGAUACCAGCUGGCUGCAACUGUUUAUUAAAAACACAGCACUGUGCAAACACGAAAGUGGACGUAUACGGUGUGACGCCUGCCCGGUGCCGGAAGGUUAAUUGAUGGGGUUAGCGCAAGCGAAGCUCUUGAUCGAAGCCCCGGUAAACGGCGGCCGUAACUAUAACGGUCCUAAGGUAGCGAAAUUCCUUGUCGGGUAAGUUCCGACCUGCACGAAUGGCGUAAUGAUGGCCAGGCUGUCUCCACCCGAGACUCAGUGAAAUUGAACUCGCUGUGAAGAUGCAGUGUACCCGCGGCAAGACGGAAAGACCCCGUGAACCUUUACUAUAGCUUGACACUGAACAUUGAGCCUUGAUGUGUAGGAUAGGUGGGAGGCUUAGAAGUGUGGACGCCAGUCUGCAUGGAGCCGACCUUGAAAUACCACCCUUUAAUGUUUGAUGUUCUAACGUUGACCCGUAAUCCGGGUUGCGGACAGUGUCUGGUGGGUAGUUUGACUGGGGCGGUCUCCUCCUAAAGAGUAACGGAGGAGCACGAAGGUUGGCUAAUCCUGGUCGGACAUCAGGAGGUUAGUGCAAUGGCAUAAGCCAGCUUGACUGCGAGCGUGACGGCGCGAGCAGGUGCGAAAGCAGGUCAUAGUGAUCCGGUGGUUCUGAAUGGAAGGGCCAUCGCUCAACGGAUAAAAGGUACUCCGGGGAUAACAGGCUGAUACCGCCCAAGAGUUCAUAUCGACGGCGGUGUUUGGCACCUCGAUGUCGGCUCAUCACAUCCUGGGGCUGAAGUAGGUCCCAAGGGUAUGGCUGUUCGCCAUUUAAAGUGGUACGCGAGCUGGGUUUAGAACGUCGUGAGACAGUUCGGUCCCUAUCUGCCGUGGGCGCUGGAGAACUGAGGGGGGCUGCUCCUAGUACGAGAGGACCGGAGUGGACGCAUCACUGGUGUUCGGGUUGUCAUGCCAAUGGCACUGCCCGGUAGCUAAAUGCGGAAGAGAUAAGUGCUGAAAGCAUCUAAGCACGAAACUUGCCCCGAGAUGAGUUCUCCCUGACUCCUUGAGAGUCCUGAAGGAACGUUGAAGACGACGACGUUGAUAGGCCGGGUGUGUAAGCGCAGCGAUGCGUUGAGCUAACCGGUACUAAUGAACCGUGAGG